rnacentral:rRNA from 1 species
GUACACUCCUACGGGAGGCAGCAGUGGGGAAUAUUGCACAAUGGGCGCAAGCCUGAUGCAGCCAUGCCGCGUGUAUGAAGAAGGCCUUCGGGUUGUAAAGUACUUUCAGCGGGGAGGAAGGCGAUAAGGUUAAUAACCUUGUCGAUUGACGUUACCCGCAGAAGAAGCACCGGCUAACUCCGUGCCAGCAGCCGCGGUAAUACGGAGGGUGCAAGCGUUAAUCGGAAUUACUGGGCGUAAAGCGCACGCAGGCGGUCUGUCAAGUCGGAUGUGAAAUCCCCGGGCUCAACCUGGGAACUGCAUUCGAAACUGGCAGGCUAGAGUCUUGUAGAGGGGGGUAGAAUUCCAGGUGUAGCGGUGAAAUGCGUAGAGAUCUGGAGGAAUACCGGUGGCGAAGGCGGCCCCCUGGACAAAGACUGACGCUCAGGUGCGAAAGCGUGGGGAGCAAACAGGAUUAGAAACCCUAGUAGUCCCAUGA